GGCGAGUGAAGCGGGAAGAGCUCAAAUUUGUAAUCUGGCACUUUCAGUGUCCGAGUUGUAAUCUCGAGAAGUAUUUUCCGCGCCGGACCGCAUACAAGUCUGUUGGAAUACAGCGUCAUAGUGGUGAGAACCCCGUAACUGAUGCGGAUGCCCGGUGCUUUGUGAUAUACUUUCGAAGAGUCGAGUUGUUUGGGAAUGCAGCUCAAAUUGGGUGGUAAAUUCCAUCUAAAGCUAAAUAUUGGAGCAAGACCGAUAGCGAACAAGUACCGUGAGGGAAAGAUGAAAAGCACUUUGGAAAGAGAGUUAACAGUACGUGAAAUUGUUGGAAGGGAAACGCUUGAAGUCAGACUUGCUAUUCGGAGUUCAGCCGCAAGGUGUAUUCUUCGAUUCGCAGGCCAGCAUCAGUUUUCGGGGGUGGAAAAUCACGGUUUGAAGGUAGCAACCUCGGUUGUGUUAUAGCUUUCCGUUGGAUUCAUCCUUGGGGACUGAGGAACGCAGUACGCUUUUUGCAAGGCUCUCGAGCUUUUCGUACUUAGGAUGC
rnacentral:rRNA from 1 species